rnacentral:rRNA from 1 species
GUUGGAUGGAAUAACCCAGCCCUGAUGGUGUAUUUUUCCAUCUUAUUUACACUAAACAAUCCUGUAACAGAUGUAUUCUUAUUAUAACAUAAUAAAACUUUCAACAACGGAUCUCUUGGCUCUCGCAUCGAUGAACAACGCAGCGAAAUGCGAUAAGUAGUGUGAAUUGCAUAAUUCAGUGAAUCAUCAAAUCUUUGAACGCACCUUGCGCUCCGUGGUAUUCCGAAGAGCAUGCCUGUUUGAGUGUCAUGAACCCCCUCAACCUUAGAUUGGUUAUUUGACCUUUCUUUGGCUUGGAUUUGGACGUUUGCCGAAGAUAACUCCGCUCGUCUUAAAAGUAAUAGCUGGAUCUGUCUCGCGACGUGGUUUGACUUGGCAUAAUAAGUAUUUCCUAAAGACAUCUUCGGAUGGCCAUGUUGCACACUAAAGACCGCUUUCUAAUCCAUUGAUCUUCAGAUUAAUAUUCAUAACAUCUGGCCUCAAAUCAGGUAAGACUACCCGCUGAACUUAAACAUAUCAAUAAGCAGAAGAAC